CGAGGCGUAGCGCAGUUUGGUAGCGCGCUUGGUUCGGGACCAAGAGGUCGCAAGUUCAAAUCUUGUCGCCUCGACCA
rnacentral:tRNA from 2 species